rnacentral:rRNA from 1 species
GCCUACGGGGGGCAGCAGUAGGGAAUCUUCCACAAUGGGCGAAAGCCUGAUGGAGCAACGCCGCGUGGGUGAAGAAGGUCUUCGGAUCGUAAAACCCUGUUGUUAGAGAAGAAAGUGCGUGAGAGUAACUGUUCACGUUUCGACGGUAUCUAACCAGAAAGCCACGGCUAACUACGUGCCAGCAGCCGCGGUAAUACGUAGGUGGCAAGCGUUAUCCGGAUUUAUUGGGCGUAAAGGGAACGCAGGCGGUCUUUUAAGUUUGAUGUGAAAGCCUUCGGCUUAACCGGAGUAGUGCAUUGGAAACU